UGGAGAAUUUUUCCCACUUGUGCCUGUGUGC
rnacentral:piRNA from 1 species